UACCCCCAACCAAACACGCUGUUAUCUCUUUCUCUCCCGAUCUGAGCGGCGGCGGCGACGCUCGCAUCUGGCAGCGCCCGGUGAGGCCACCUCUCCCCUCCGUCCCAUGGCACCACCGCCCCAACCCAUACCCAGCUCCCUCUCCCCCUCGCAUGGUAGCAGAUCUGAGCGGGACAAGGCCCCUUCGGUUCUGGUGGUUCGGAACGGGGCGGGUGACCUCUGCUCCCUUAUCUUCUGGCGACUAGGAGCGUGGCGGCUGGUGCCCCCAUCUUCUUAGCCGUCCAUGGCGGCAACGACAUCCGGAAGCCCCCCCCCCCCCACCACCCCCCCCCCCCCCCCCCCCCCCCUCUCUCUCUCUCUGCAGAUUUUAACUCCCAGCAAUGAACCUUCCAUAGCUCUGGUGGUUGGUACGGCCAUCUCUCUGCAGAUUGUUCUCUUUUAAAAAAAAAUCAGUGCUGCUUUGAUUCAUGGAAAUAAAGAAGCUUUUGAAGCAGGCUACCUUUAGAAUCCGCAGGUAGAAGAUUUCUGCAAAGAUAAAGCAAAAUGAGGUUGUAGGGUUCAAUUGAUACAUGGCGUGUCAGCAUUUGUCUAUCUAACUAAAAGGUCAGCCAUGAGUGUUCCCAAUAUCAGUGUGCUUUGUGCUGCAGAAAAUGGAUUUUCGAAAACCUGUAGCACAUGGUGUCCUGGGAAUUCCUCGCUAUGUACAAGUUUAGCAAAUACUGUAUGGAAGUGGGCAUCCUAGGUUGCAGUUGGAUCUCUUAAGUUGGUUGCUGUUAUUCUUGUUAUUUUGCAUGAAAAUACAGUAUUUGUGAAUCACCUUUCUGCUGUUUUUUGAGAAUAUACACUUAGACUUCUAAUAGACUAAUUAAUCAAUAAGACAGAAUCGUAUGUUGUGUAUGAUAAAAAGAACCAGAACAUGGAUAAAUUUUGUAUAGUUGUAGUUGUAGUAUCUUAUGCACAUAUCUCAACUCAUUCAGGAAAGCAGAUAAUAGCAGGCAAUAGCUACUGUAUCUGUAUAGUCGUAGUCGAACUUAGCAUUCAACUUUACUUUGUCACCAUAGCCCUGUGUUGAUACUGUAGUCAAUAGGCAGCUGGGCUACCAUGUACUGGUAGAGUUUGUUGUACGUUACCCUUCUGAGGAAACUGCAUGUAUCUAUAAUUUUGUUGGACAGAAGAUCCUGAAGAUUAUGUAUUAGCUUAUUCCUUUUUGGUGGGCUGCUAUUAAAGGUCUGAGCUAUAUAGAAGUCAUCAUGGUAAAAAAAAGUCUGAAGUAUCCUGUAAACUCUUACUUAUUUGUGGCCCAUUAUGUUUAAUCUUUGUUGAUAAAUACAAUUCCGCUCCAUAAAAUGAGUGAAUGCCAGAGAAGGUCUCUCUCAGUUUCAGUUUAAAUUUUUAAUGCAGUCACAAUAAAGUCAUCUAGUGAACGGCUCCUUGUGUGUUUUAACUCUUUAUGGUUAUCAAUGAACUUAGUGUCUAGAAAUUAGGACAUUUUAACUAGUGCUUAGCAUGCCCUUUACAUGGCCACCUAUACCUGAAUGGAGUGCUUUUCUUAGUAGGUGUUUCGGUAUUAGCUUGCCCUGUGAAGUAAUAGUUGUCAAUGAUAUGAUCUAUACAAUUUUUUUAGGUGCCAUUGUCUUUAUGAAGUAUGAAUGUAAUCACAACUUCUUUACAUUUUGUAGGCAAGACAUGCAAGAGGACGAGGAACCAUGAAGCUGGUGGUUCAUGGCAAUAGGAUAUUUUUUGUAAUGGUGACUGAAUCUUUGGAGAUGCGUUUUAUGUAUCAUUUUGUAAACACACAUUGUGCCUGAGAAAAUGAACCAUAUUGUUUCCUCUUUAAUUAGUUACAUUAGUUUAUGGGAAAUUUGGUUGGUCAUUAUGUUAAUAUUGGAUGAACUAUUUAUAUGUGAUAUUAAUUAAUGUGUUCUAUUAUUGUUUGA